UACGUAGGGCGCAAGCGUUGUCCGGAAUUAUUGGGCGUAAAGAGCUCGUAGGCGGUUCGAUAAGUCGGACGUGAAAUCUCCACGCUCAACGUGGAGGGGCCGUUCGAUACUGUCGUGACUCGAGUCCGGUAGGGGAGUGUGGAAUUCCCGGUGUAGCGGUGAAAUGCGCAGAGAUCGGGAGGAACGACCCGUAGCGAAGGCGGAGCACUCCUGGGCCGGUACUGGACGCUGAGGAGCGGAAAGCGUGGGGAGCAAAGCAGGGAGUUA
rnacentral:rRNA from 1 species